GGCCUGGUGGCGGAACGGUAGCGCGUCUGACUCCAGAUCAGAAGGUUGCGUGUUCAAGUCACGUCUGGGUCA